GAGAUCUUCCCUUUGAUGGCGGUCAAGUAUGUGUCGGAGCACAUGGAAAAAGUAUCUUGGCCCCGAACUCUUACCACAAAGGGAAUAACGUCUGUCAAGUUAUUUGUGUCUGAAAAUCCCGAUUGGUUUUUUGAACUACUAGAAGGAUUCUGGAGAACCACUGACGGUGAGAACAGCCCAACUGAGAUCCUGGAUGAUCUUGAAAUGGUGUGGCCAGCCAUGCGAUCGGAUUGUGGGAUUUGCCUGAGAAACUGAUUCAAGCAACCCUGGAUUUCAGAUAAGCCCUAUGCACUACUUUUCCUACCCGGAUAAUAGGGUUUGCACACUGACAAUUCCCCUACAGUACACCUGUUUGGGUUUUCAACAACUUUAAAGGACAAUUCAGACUGGACAAUUCAAACUUCACAACGGAAACACUUUAAUCUGUUUCAUUCAUUCCAAAGAGCUCUGAUACAGUUCAGUAUAAAUCUUCCAUUUGAAUGUCUUUAUUUUGUUUUGUUUUACAUGUAUUCACCUUUAAAAUGCACUAUUAGUGUGCAAUUUGGGUUAUUGUGUUGUAUAUGUAUAUAAAUGGUAGAGGUGGGAAUCACCAUACAUCCCACGAUACAAUAUUAUCACAAUACUUAACGCACGAUACGAUAUUAUUGCAAUUUUUAAAAAUAUUUUGCGAUAUUCAGAUUCUGUACAUAAAGGUAAACUUUAUCAAUAUUCAUUUUAUCUAAUAUCAAAGUCUCACACUCAGUCUUUCUCUCAUUUCAGUCAGUUUUAUUGUUGACAAACUGAACGGUUUGUAUUACAGUUUAGUCCCAACUUAACUGAAUGCAACCAUCUGGUACAAUUAUAGCUAUUCUGAACUAUGCAAUUUAUGAAAACUAUGCAGCCC
ensembl:lncRNA